rnacentral:lncRNA from 1 species
GAACAAAUGAACAAAUGAACAAAUGAAUAAAUGAACAAAUGAACAUAUGAAUAAGUAGAUAAACCUUAAACAAACAGGAUCUAACAAAAUGAAAAAAGGACAAUUUUUUCAUGUUGUAGAAAAUGAAUUGCCUACGUUAGAUCAAAGUUCAUUACUUGAUUUUUCUGUUAUUUCAACAGACGAGUUAAAAAGUGAAAUAGAUGAUAAAGAAGAAGAAGAAGAAAAAAAAAAAAACGAAAAAAACAAAAAAGACAGAAACGAUAAUUUUGAAAAUUGUUAUAUUUCGGUCGACAAUGUUAGUGAUAAUAAAAGAAACGCUUUGAAUUUUUUAGGUCUUCGUAAACAAAAAAACAAUGUUUUAAAUGAUAAGCGUGAGUGUAAUAAUAACACAUCAAAUGAUGUAUCAAAAAUAACACAUGUUGAAGCACAAAAGUUCUUGUCACGUGGUGCAUCUUAUACGAUUGCAAGUAAUACCUGUUCACUUUUAUCACCACAUAAAAACAAUAUCAAAGCUAACACUGAAAAUAAUGAUAGUAAUAAAAAUAUGUGUGAGAGCACUAAAAGUGGUAUUAACAACUACUACGUAGAAAAUAAAAGUAUUCAACAAAAAUGUGUUUUAACAAAAGAAAAGAGUAACAGGUUUUAUUGGUUGGAACAAAUUGUUUAUAAUAAUAUAAAUAAUAGCUAUGAUAAAAAUGAAAUAAAAAUUUUUCACAUUUAUCAUGAUAGUAGAGCUGAAUGUUUAUUUAACGACAUAAGUAUAAUAAAAUUCUAUUGGCAUAAAAAUAUAUGUAUAUAUGAAAAUAAAAAUUAUAUAUAUGAUGAAAUUAAUAAAAAUUUGUUUCAAAAAGAAGAAAAAAAGAAAGACAUGUCUUUCGAUUUAAGUAAUGAUGAUAUAUAUGAGUAUUUAUAUAAAGAAAAAAUGAAAAUAAGUAACAGCAAUAAUAGUAAUAAUAGCAACAGUAAUAAUAGCAGCAGUAAUAAUAGCAGCAGUAAUAAUAGCAGCAAUAAUAAUAAACAAGGUAAUAAUUUAAAAAAUGGAAUAAAUAUUGAAAAUGAUAAUUAUGAUCAUGAAAAAAUACAAUAUAUACAAUUUUACAUUCAUAAAUAUCCUUCUUUUUUAAAAGAAAAAAUUAAAGUAUUUAUACAUAUAUAUAAUAUAUUUAGUUUGUAUCCAUAUAUUAAUCAUAAAUUUAUAGAAGAACAAAUUUAUUCAAAAAGCUUAAAAAUUACAAUUAUUUCUGAAAAAAUUUUACACAUAAAAUGGAAUUUUUUAAAUGAGACUGAAUUAAAAAUAAUAUUAAAUGAAAUAAUUAACAAACGAAAAAAAUAUAAUUUAAUUAAUGAUAAUUUUGUAAAAAUUAAUAAUUUUCUUCAUAUCAACUUUUUAACACAAGAAAUAAAAGUAUACGAUAUACAUAGUUCGAAUAAUAAUAGUAAUAAUAACAAUAAUAAUAAUUGUUAUAAUAAGGAGAAGAAAAAUAAGCAGUUAGUUGAUUCUAAUUAUAUUAUGUUAAAUGGUAACGGACUUUGUUUUUCAGCACAUUACCAUAUACUUGUUCCUUAUCAUAGACACAUGAGCGAAAAUUGUAAUGAUUACAAUGACGAUAGUGAUCGAAAUGGCGAUUAUAAUGGUGACCAAUGUAAUGGUUCUCUUUUUAGUGAUGAAAAAAAUAAUGAUGACUUAAUUAGUUGUGAUAUAAGCGACUUCAACAUAAGCGACUUCAACAUAAACGACUACAACAUAAGCAACCACAACAUAAGCAACCACAACAUAAGCAACCACAACAUAAGCAACCACAACAUAAGCAACCACAACAUAAGCAACCACAACAUAAGAAACAGUUACAAUUUAAAUUAUGAGUAUGUCUAUUUGUCACAAUUAUUUAAUAUCUAUGACAAUUUUAAUAUAUGUUUUUUAUAUCCAUUAUUUGUUUCUUAUUUUUUUUAUUACCAUUUGUUUAUUAAAGACAAGUUUGAAAGUUUAAUUGCUACACCAGCACCGUUACCCUUAUCGGUACCAGAAACAACAACAACAACAACAACGGCAGUGCAAGUGUCUUGUGAAGGAAGAAAUAAUAAAUCAAUAAAAUAUACUGGAGACGACUUACUAUCAUACGACAAUACGACUGAACAAUGUUACAUUAGUCAAUUAAAUGAUGUAUACAUAAAGUUAGAAAAUUGUGUCAAAAAACUAUUGCUAAAUAAAGAAAAAAAUGAUAUUAUGAAAAUAGAAAAUGAUAUUAUCGAAUUUUUAAGACCACAAAGUUGUUAUAAAAAAAUAGAGCAUAUCGAUUUUGUUACUGAUACAUCACAUUAUUUAGCUUUAUUUUAUAUUAUAUGUAUAAAUAAAUAUGUCUUAACUGAUAAAAAAGAGUUUAUGCAAAUGGAUAAUAAUGUAUAUACAAAUAAUGGGACACAUAGCUUAAUGUAUAAGGGUACACAAGACGGUAUACAUAAUAACAAUAAUAGCUAUCUAUGUGAUAAUAAAUAUACAUGUGCUUAUUACUCUACAGACAUAAAUUACAAUACGAAUUUGACAUGUGGCAAUGGUUUUAACGAUAAGCAAAAAGUUUAUACAAAUCAGAGUUAUGAUAAAAACAAUUUUGAUCAUAAUUUUAAAAGCGUUUAUAAUAAAACUGGACCAGGACCAAAUAGAAAUGAAAAUGAAGUUAUUUUGAAUGAAGAAAUUAGAUUACUCACAAAUGAUAUUAAAGAAAUGACAAAUUUACGUAAUAUUUUUCCUAAUGAUAUGAAACAGUAUUUUAAUACUUGUAACAAAAUUGAUAAUAUUAUAAAAAUGAGUAUACGAACAGAUGGUGUUUGUUUUUUUUAUGUAAAAAAUAAGGCAAAUGAAUAUUUUUUUUUUUCUUAUUUUAUAAUGUUUAACUCUGCAUAUAACUUAUUACAGUUGAUGCAGGAAAGGAUAAACGGAGUUACAGGGGGUACUACACAAAUUAAAAAACUAACAGAUGAUAUUAUUAGCGCAACUGAAACGACUAAAAUGAUUGAUACUACAACUGUUGAUAAAACAAAAGAAGUUUACGAGUAUGCUAUAUCACAGUCGGAACAUUUAAAUCCAAACGCCAUACAAUUAAUGAGUAAAAAUACAGUGAAUAACAAUAGUUAUAAUUACAUAUUUAACAAACAAAUUGUAGAUAAUUUGAUAAAUGUUACAAAUAAAAAACAAGUGUGUUAUAACCUAUACAAUUUGAAGUACAAUAAUAUUAAUUAUGACUAUGAUAGUAGUAAUUGUACGAAUAAUAAUGAUGCUUCUUCCUUUUUUUUUGAAAAUAUCAAUAGAAUAUUUGAUGUAAGUAAUAUACAAAAUAUUUAUAAUGAUUUAUUUAUAUGUGAAAAUAAAAAAAUGAGCACAUUUAAAGUAAUAAAUAGAAUGAAUAAAAAAAAAAAAAAAAUUUUAACAUACUAUUAUUUCAAUAAAAAUGAAGUAACCCCUCUUUUUUUUUUGCGCUUAUCUAAUAUACAUAUAUAUGACAUUAACAAACAAUUAAAUUCUGUUUAUGAAUACAUAAGUUAUAAUAAUAAUACAUUUACUCCUUUUUUAAAUAAACAUGAACAAUGUAACACGGAUGUACAAUUAGAUUUAUUAGAAAAUAUGUAUAACAUUAAUAAUGAAUUAUAUUUAUUAUAUGAGAAAAAAAUUAACUAUUCUCAUGAUAUUUAUAAAUAUAACUAUUUAUAUGUUCUUGAUUAUCUAUUAAGAAAAUAUAUACUUUAUAAUAAUAUAUAUUUUACUGUAUAUGAAAAAUUAAAAACAAACAAAUAUUAUAAAUUAAGAUAUACUAAUAAACAUAAACACACUUCAGACAUACACUUUACUCUUUGUUUUAAUUAUAUAUAUGAUCAGGUAACAUCAAAUUUUUAUUUAAAAACAAAAUAUUACAUAACUCAUGUUGAACAAGAUCAACAACAAGAGAAACAAAAUUUUGAACAAAAAAACUAUUUAUCAUUUAUUAAAAAAUAUGCAAAUAGUAAAUGUAUAAAAGGUUUUUGCGAAUGAACUUACCAUUUAAUUUACCAAAUAGUUUUUUUGUAAGAGCUUUGCAAAAUCUUAUUGUAAACUGGUGUAGCCAACUGAAGUAACAACUUUCGAAAAGCCAUUAUACCUUAUACAUGGAAGUAUUUGUGAGUAUAUGUACAAUAAUAUAUACACAUACUUUCACAUGUAUGUACAUCCUAUUUUAUGCUUAUGUUUGAUCACAUUUGUCGACACUAUCUGCCUA